CGGCCCGGCGGCCGCAGGCCGAGCUGCCGCCGCUCUCUGCGUGCUCAGUCCAGAGCAGGCUUGAACAGCUCCAAAGAAAAGGGGGAAAAAACCACAGUCCAGGGAACUUCCUUGCCUCAGCUAGCUAAAAACUAACUAAAAGCAAAGGAGAGCUCUGUCCCACUGCCUGUCCAUCCGCAGACAGCACAGUCCAGGAGCAGGAAUGUGGAGGAGUGAGCGCAGUGUCUGAAAACAAACUGAGGCUUCUUCCUCUCCCCUUCACUCUCUGCAACAAUCUUAAAGGUGUAAAACUUAUUAUUCAGCAUAAACAGAACAAGACAACUGGGGAUAAAAGCAUCCUAUAGCCAGCCCAGGACACCAUCACAUUCCAGAGGUUGAGGAGCGGUUGGUGGCUUGAAGUGUCCGGGUGUACAUAGGAUUAGCAAUGUUUGAUUUUAAGAUGCUUGGCAGCUGUUGAUGUAUGUAUGGUCACACAUGGGCCUAUGAAAGUUUGACACCCUCUGGGAAAGCACAACCUCAAGCUGUAAGUCAAGACCACAUGUAACAGCUCGAGUGGAUAUACACUUGCAUUAGACAGGUGUUGAUUGAAAAAUUAAGUACACUUUUAGUCAUAGCUAUUUGCAGAUACAUAGCAGGGGAGCUCUUGAGGCUUUGAAAUCAAGUGUUGAAGAGAGUGAACAGCUCUGUUUGAGUAAAUGAUCCAUCCUUGACUCAUUGUGUAUACAGAGAGAAGAUCUGCCUUUGAUUGUUGUUUUAAUAAACUGGAAGUCUGCCAAUGUUCUCUGGCAGUCCAGAAAACUUGUGGAAGGUAAUGGAAAAAGCUUACUGACUCAAAUUGUACAUGUGCCACCCAAGGGCCAUGCACUCCUGAAUGUGCUUCUGACUGACAGGAAGAAACUGGUUGGAGCUUUUUUCUUAUGGACUUUAAGUCCUUAAGGAUUUUAAGUCCUUUCUUAAGGACUUACUGGGAGGGGAAUAUUCAGUCACCUUGUGAGAAGCAAAUGAGGUUUGCUGCUAAACAAAGCUGGUAUUCCAGGACUGUGAGGAUGUGGAGCACCAGGAAUUGUUCCAAAAUUGUUAAGGUAAAAAGAAAGCUCAAUAGAAGGUUGCAAACUGCUUUUCAAAAGCCUGUAAGGCCACAAUUUAUACACAACCAAAAUAUUUCACACUGUAAGCAAUAAGGAGAUUCUGGAGUCCAUCAAAAACAAGUGAUCCAAGUGAUACAGCAACAAGAAAAGGUAACCAAAUACAGGAGGAGGCUACCCAGGGAAGUUGUGGGAUCUCUAUACUUAGAGAUAUUCCAGAGUUACCUGAUAUGAUCCUGGGCAACUGGCUCUAGGUGGCCCUGCUGGAGUAGGAAGAAGACUACUAUUUGCAAGUCAGUAAUGCUAAUUUAAUAGAAAUAGAUUGUUGUUGUCAUUUGCAAGUGACAUACAGCAGUAACUUUGCAAGCAGGUACAGCAAUUUUGCUCCACAUGCAGCAAGCAGCAAAGACACAAUAAAACACGGUUCUGAAGCUGAUGGCAAAGAGCUCUCCAGGGGGAGCUUACAGCUGUGAUGGUGUUUGGGUUGCUCUGGGUAACCUGGGCAGCUGGACACUCAGUGCUGGUGCCCAGAUGAAACCAAAAGUGUCAUUUCACUUUGCAUGUAGGAAGACUUUUGAAUCUUGAAAUCUGAUUUCUCAGCAGCACACUGAAGAUGACUGCUUAAAAAGAAUGAUCAGCUUCAUAUUUCAUCUUAAAUCAGCUGGAUUCCUUACAAUGACAACAAAGGCUGUGUUGAAGGUGUUGGGCCUUGACUGUUGACCUGAUACAAGGAUGAUAGAUGCAUCAGAGAGAGAGAGAGUGCAGCAUGAGCUUGUUUUGUAAACCAAGCAACCUUUCUUCUAACCAUGGCAGUUAUAUGAGAGGAAUUUUAAACAAAAGCAUUUCCAGCAGCUAGAUAAGCAAGUGUCUUGCUGAGAAAGAUGGAAGGCUAAUGGUAAUUCUUCUGCCAGAAAGCAUUGGAAAAUAAGACCUGUCAUCUAGAAAAUGACAAAGCCAUUUCUAGUCCCUGUAGACUAGCACUCUAUCUUUUGCUGAACAAAUAUGCUGUUAAAGGUGUUGGCCUGCAAACCAAACACAGAAAAAUGUCACACUGGUAUCGGAGUGGAACUAUUAAAUGUGCUUUAAAUGUAUUAUAAUUACUAAAUUGUUUGCAUUAGCAGUGAGCCUUCCUAGAAACUCUCUUCUUAAAGAGAUAGACAAAACACAAAAUUGCUACAAACAAAAUGUUUCUUUUCCAAGGAGCUUGCAACAAAAGCCUUUUAAGGUGGCCGGGGGUGGGGUGAAGAAUCUUGACCUGGUAUUGAUUAGAUCAGUGGCAGAACCAGAGAUAAAGCAUAAAUUUCUCCAGUUCCCCAUCUAGUGACCUGUUCACUUGAUCACAGAGGCUGAUAAGCAAUGACAGUCACAUGCAAAAUUUGAAAUACCCUCUCUGUUUCCUCUGAAUCUUUUUCUGAUACAGAAUUUUACCCCUGAAAAUCUGUAUGCUUCUGACUGGUAAAGAUUUUACCACUGCCCAUCUAACUACUUUUUUUCAUCUCUCACUUACCUGCUAAGCUGGUUAUUAAACAGAAUGUUGUAUGUAGCCAGUCUAAGAGAUUAGCUGCCUAUGUAGGUUUUUUUUGAAGUGAUUCCCCUGCUCCUUCCUCCUAUCUUUUGGUCAAAAAUAUAGUUUCUAUCUGAUUACAGCUGGCCUCUGCUCAACCUUUUGUACAGGGCUGAUUUAGAUUUUCCAGUUCAGUCACAGCAGGAAAGAUAAACCCUGAACCACAUGAUGAUGUUGGCAGUGUCAGACAGUGGAAAUGAAGUCUCCAGGGGAUACCAAUUGACAUUUCAACACUUUGCCUGCCAAAGAACAGGCUUGCACACAUUUUAAAAAAAGUUACAGAGCAGAAAGAAAACCCAUUAAAAGUCUUGAAAGUUGAAAGCACAUUUAUGUGUCUUUACAUAACAGAUGGAUACUGACCUUAGACACUUUCUGCCCUCCAAAAAUAUACCACUCUUAAGUUCCUAGGAGUUAUAAGUGACUCAGAUGUACUUUAAGUGGAGAGUUAUUUAGGGACUAUGAUUGUUUUUUUCCCAGUAGGAAUUAUUAGGAUUCAGAACUCCCUUACAAAUUUAAUUCUACAGUGAGCUUUAUAAUGCACUAGGCUUAUAUUUUUUUCUACAUUACACCUGACUUAUACCACCACAACUUGAUGGACUCUGCUAUCUCUAAUUCUCACAAGCAGCAAACAAGAAUCUUCCUGAAUGUUUUUGACAGACAGAGGCUUUUUUAAUAUAUCUCCUGCAUUUUAAUUUUUCUUCAAGCUUUAAGUAACAUUUCUUAUUUUCCAAUUAGAAACAAACAAAAAAAAAUAAAGUGUGAGAAAACAGAAGAGCAUAUUCAAAUCAUACUAAAACUUCUGUUUGAUUUUUCCCACCCCCUUUUCUCUUUCUUCUUUCUUUUCAAUGACAUUUCCUAUGAUGAGCGCUCAGAAAGAAUAGCUAUUGCCUCUCUUGUCAGUUUUGUUUUGUCAGCUCUGAAUGCUGGGUCUUGCUUUGCCAUUUUCAAGGUCUCUUUCAAUCCCUUGAACACAGCUGGUGCUUCAAUCAAGAGCUCACACCGUGAAGAAGCUGGCAGUUGAUCCCCAACCAGCUAUGUGGAAGAUACAUAAUAUAUUUCACAGUACACAGUGGAAUACCCUUUUCAUUUCAUCAUUGAGAGAGUCUGCUUCACUCAGGAGUUCUUCUAUACAAAAAUAUUAAUAAUGUCCCAUUCUCCUCAGGGAUGUGAACAUUUGAGGGUUGAACUUCAGUGACCCCUGCUUGUCAGGUUGAUGUGACUUUAACAAAUUCAGUAAAGGAAGCCCUUUUGAGCCUCAGUUUAUGGUUUUGUUAACUUCACAUUUGAGAACAGAUUUUUUUAAUCACCUCUUGGAAGAAGUUGUGGGAAUUGAAGGCUGUGAAGAAAGCCUGUGGAUACCCAAACAUUACAGAACUGCAUAAUUGAACUGUGCUAUUGAAGUAAUGCUAAUAAUUCUAAAAAAAAAAUAAUUAUAUCAACUUUGUUUUUAAUAAUUAUAUUUCAGUUAUCAAAAACACAACUGAGAAUUCUUGCUUUUGCUUUUAUUAAUAGUUUGAUCUUUAGUGCGUUAGUUGAUGCCGUUAGAAAUUGUCCCAGACAUUCCCCACUAGUUAAAGUAAGAAUUGUAAUGUAAGUACAAACCUAGGAAGAUUGUGAGAAUUUUUGCACCAAAUCCUCCUUUCAGAAGGUAAAAAUUGGCUGUCAGUGAAACAUGAUUAGCAGGACUCACAGCAAGCAGGGCUUUUGUACAAGGAUGGCUCAUGAACCAGUGCCUUUUGCAAACCAUUGUUUUGGUUAUGGAAGAAGGGAUUGAAAAGGCCAGCGUGUGCACAGGAAACAGGUCUCUCUCUUCUUCUAAGCUAGAGAGGAUCUCUGUGUUACUCCUACUUGCUGUGUCUGGUCCUGCAAAACACGUGAUUCUCUAUGAUUGAGAGUCUUUAGUCCCUAUUAGCCUUGUUGAACCUUAUUGCUUAGCACUCAAGCAAGAGAAUUCAUUCAGCUCUGUUUUCUUCUUAUGCAGUGAGUUAAAGGAGCUUCACUAAGCACUUUCUUUCUUGAUUUGCACAUACAAUCAAAAGUGAUGUGCUUAUUAGCAUAUUUGCUUUUAAAAUGUGCUCACUUUAAAAGUAAGUUGGAAUAUGUUAGAAAUGGUCCUAAAAGAGAAACAUUCACACUCUUUUUACACAGGGUGUAAGUAUUCAUUGUUAUAAUUCUUUAUUUUAGGAUAGGGGAAAACAAAGACACUGGGUGCUCUUAGAAUUUAAAAGAAUAUAUUGAAAAGAAAAAAUCCAUCCAAGUGCAAAAAAUCUGAAGCCUGUUUAGGAAUGAGUUUGGGGAACACUGUAUUUUUGCUUCAAACACAGAAAACCUUCCAGAUGGAGUCCAUUUUCUGCAACAUCCAAAGUCAGUGAAAUGCAGUGUUUACAGAAAACAGGUUACUUUAGUGUUUUGAUGUGCUUGUAGAACACUUUUUUCUUCUUUUAAAUUUUUUAUAUUUUCUCCAUUUCUCCACUCCCUUGUUCGCUUGCAUGAAAUGACAACCGUGGCUAGUUUAGCAAGUUAAGAUGUCAGUGUGGGUUUCUUUCACUACAAAGAAGACGUGCCACUGUUAGCAACUGAUCUAACAACAGGCACACUGGCUUGAUAGUUGAAAGCUGUUCAAGCUGUCCUUGGGCUUUUCUCUUUCUUCUUCAGCUCUUCAGAACAAUCCUGCCUUGUCUGGGGUAGGGUUCUCUCCUUAACUUAACACCCUGAUGCUCAUUGCAAACAAAUUGCUUUUCUCUUAAACAAUUCAAUUUCUAAAUUUUUCCAAUACUAGUUCCAAGUAUUAGUUCAACAUUAGGUGACGAGUUUUGCACACAUGUUACAAAGGCUUAAAAUCAGCCCUCUAGACAGUAUUUCUAAGGGUAAGAUACACUAUCACUGUAGUGAGAUUUGGUCAGUCUGGGAAUGCUUUCAAUAAAGCUAAUGAAUUGACAUGAAUAAUUUGAAUAACUUGACUGAGGGAAGACAGUUCCCAUCUUUAAUUUCUCUAAUUUUAUUUUGAACAUAACAAUUCACCCUGUGUAUUCAGUUAUGUGUUUAAUUCAUACAGAAAAGAUACACUAUGUAUAUUGAAACAAUUUUAUGUUUGCAUGAAACAAAUAUUUUGGUUGCUACAGAAAUUUGUGGUGAAUCAUAAUAAAUUAAGAUAAAUGGUCCACUUUUUCUAAUUCUGAACACACAGCAGACACAAAUGGAAAAUUCUGAGUAGGAAUUGCUGAUGCCUCAUUUCCAGGCAUUUUAAACUUCAGUUUUUAAACAGCCAAUAGCUGAAACACCUUAUCUUAAAAAUAAUAGCUUUCCUAAGAAUUUAAUUAGGUCAUCUACAGGGGUUAUCUUUGGCACUCUGAAAUUAGCUUUGUUGCAGACACUUGGGAGGACAAUUAGGACCCAUCUUAUUAGCACUGAAGGUUAAAACUCCUUCACUGUCUUGUAUCAGGACAUAAUCUUUCAUGCUUCACAGCUUUAGUUCUCACAAUGAGUUGCAUUGGAAACAGUAGAGGGGGGAAGUGAAAAGGGCAGACCUGAAACAGCUAAAUAAAUAUAAAGUUUAAGGAAGAGCCUGCAGACCUUUUAUUCAAUGAACCUAAUAAAUAUGACUUAGAAGAAGAAACAAGUUUGGCAGGAAUUGGUGAACUGCAAUUGGAUGCAGCAAAUUCUCUUAAUCAAAUUCCUAGAAUUAUGCUCAAAGAACAGGGUAUUUAUCUGAUAUUGAAGUACCUUUCUUUUUUUUUUUUUUUCUUCUUUUUUUUUUGGUGGAGGAAUGUUAGCUGUAAACUGCAUUUAGAAUUCUUGUGAUAACCAGAUACGUUUGGUCAGAAUGAAAGGGUUUCAUUUUCAGUUUGGUUAGGAAAUACCAUGCUUUGACAGCUGUACUGAUAUUAAGCAUGAAAGUCAUGACAAUGAGUUUGUGUUCGCAUGAUAACUAUGGAAAAAAAUUCACAUCUCAUAAUGCCUACUUUAAAAUAUACACUAAAGCAGUUGUUGAACAUGGCCUUUUUCUAGAUUUAACAUAAUCAAUUAUUCGUAAAUAUAUUUACUUCAGGAAAAUAACUAUUUCAUGAAGCUGCAUUUUUCUGUGAUAAGAGGAAGUUGUAUCUUGCUUUCUGGCUAUGCACAGCCUUUUCAAGGAAGCCUUCCCACGUGCAUUGUGCAAUAACAAGUAAAAUGACCCUCCAGGGUCAUGGGAUAACACUCAUGCUUUGCUGCCUGCUUUUUUUUUUUUUCUUUCUCUU